GAUGAACGCUGGCGGCGUGCCUAAUACAUGCAAGUCGAGCGAACAGACGAGGAGCUUGCUCCUUUGAUGUUAGCGGCGGACGGGUGAGUAACACGUAGGUAACCUACCUAUAAGACUGGGAUAACUUCGGGAAACCGGAGCUAAUACCGGAUAAUAUUUCGAACCGCAUGGUUCGAUAGUGAAAGAUGGCUUUGCUAUCACUUAUAGAUGGACCUGCGCCGUAUUAGCUAGUUGGUAAGGUAACGGCUUACCAAGGCAACGAUACGUAGCCGACCUGAGAGGGUGAUCGGCCACACUGGAACUGAGACACGGUCCAGACUCCUACGGGAGGCAGCAGUAGGGAAUCUUCCGCAAUGGGCGAAAGCCUGACGGAGCAACGCCGCGUGAGUGAUGAAGGUCUUCGGAUCGUAAAACGCUGUUAUUAGGGAAGAACAAACGUGUAAGUAACUGUGCACGUCUUGACGGUACCUAAUCAGAAAGCCACGGCGAACUACGU
rnacentral:rRNA from 1 species